AUUGAACGCUGGCGGCAGGCCUAACACAUGCAAGUCGAACGAGUGGCGGACGGGUGAGUAAUGUCUGGGAAACUGCCCGAGGGAGGGGGAUAACUACUGGAAACGGUAGCUAAUACAGCAUACCAUCGGAUGUGCCCCGAAUGGAUUAGCUAGUAGGUGGGGUAACGGCUCACCUAGGCGACGAUCCCUAGCUUGGCUGAGAGGAUGACCAGCCCCACUGGAACUGCGACACGGUCCAUACUCCUACGGGAGGCAGCAGUGGGGAAUAUUGCACAAGGGGCGCAAGCCUGAUGCAGCCAUGCCGCGUGUAUGAAGAAGGCCUUCGGGUUGUAAAGUACUUUCAGCGAGGAGGCGUUACUCGCAGAAGAAGCACCGGCUAACUCCGUGCCAGCAGCCGCGGUAAUUC
rnacentral:rRNA from 1 species